GGUUAAGCGACUAAGCGUACACGGUGGAUGCCCUGGCAGUCAGAGGCGAUGAAGGACGUGCUAAUCUGCGAAAAGCGUCGGUAAGGUGAUAUGAACCGUUAUAACCGGCGAUGUCCGAAUGGGGAAACCCAGUGCAAUUCGUUGCACUAUCGUUAACUGAAUACAUAGGUUAACGAGGCGAACCGGGGGAACUGAAACAUCUAAGUACCCCGAGGAAAAGAAAUCAACCGAGAUUCCCCCAGUAGCGGCGAGCGAACGGGGAGCAGCCCAGAGUCUGAAUCAGCUUGUGUGUUAGUGGAACGGUCUGGAAAGUCCGACGGUACAGGGUGAUAGUCCCGUACACCAAAAUGCACAGGCUGUGAACUCGAAGAGUAGGGCGGGACACGUGGUAUCCUGUCUGAAUAUGGGGGGACCAUCCUCCAAGGCUAAAUACUCCUGACUGACCGAUAGUGAACCAGUACCGUGAGGGAAAGGCGAAAAGAACCCCGGCGAGGGGAGUGAAAAAGAACCUGAAACCGUGUACGUACAAGCAGUGGGAGCACCUUCGGGUGUGACUGCGUACCUUUUGUAUAAUGGGUCAGCGACUUAUAUUCUGUAGCAAGGUUAACCGUAUAGGGGAGCCGCAGGGAAACCGAGUCUUAACUGGGCGUUAAGUUGCAGGGUAUAGACCCGAAACCCGGUGAUCUAGCCAUGGGCAGGUUGAAGGUUGGGUAACACUAACUGGAGGACCGAACCGACUAAUGUUGAAAAAUUAGCGGAUGACUUGUGGCUGGGGGUGAAAGGCCAAUCAAACCGGGAGAUAGCUGGUUCUCCCCGAAAGCUAUUUAGGUAGCGCCUCGUGAACUCAUCUUCGGGGGUAGAGCACUGUUUCGGCUAGGGGGUCAUCCCGACUUACCAACCCGAUGCAAACUACGAAUACCGAAGAAUGUUAUCACGGGAGACACACGGCGGGUGCUAACGUCCGUCGUGAAGAGGGAAACAACCCAGACCGCCAGCUAAGGUCCCAAAGUCAUGGUUAAGUGGGAAACGAUGUGGGAAGGCACAGACAGCCAGGAUGUUGGCUUAGAAGCAGCCAUCAUUUAAAGAAAGCGUAAUAGCUCACUGGUCGAGUCGGCCUGCGCGGAAGAUGUAACGGGGCUAAACCAUGCACCGAAGCUGCGGCAGCGACACUAUGUGUUGUUGGGUAGGGGAGCGUUCUGUAAGCCUGCGAAGGUGACCUGUGAGGGUUGCUGGAGGUAUCAGAAGUGCGAAUGCUGACAUAAGUAACGAUAAAGCGGGUGAAAAGCCCGCUCGCCGGAAGACCAAGGGUUCCUGUCCAACGUUAAUCGGGGCAGGGUGAGUCGACCCCUAAGGCGAGGCCGAAAGGCGUAGUCGAUGGGAAACAGGUUAAUAUUCCUGUACUUGGUGUUACUGCGAAGGGGGGACGGAGAAGGCUAUGUUAGCCGGGCGACGGUUGUCCCGGUUUAAGCAUGUAGGCUGAUUGUCCAGGCAAAUCCGGAUAAUCAAGGCUGAGGUGUGAUGACGAGGCACUACGGUGCUGAAGUAACAAAUGCCCUGCUUCCAGGAAAAGCCUCUAAGCAUCAGGUAACAUUAAAUCGUACCCCAAACCGACACAGGUGGUCAGGUAGAGAAUACCAAGGCGCUUGAGAGAACUCGGGUGAAGGAACUAGGCAAAAUGGUGCCGUAACUUCGGGAGAAGGCACGCUGGUGUGUAGGUGAAGUCCCUGCGGAUGGAGCUGAGACCAGUCGAAGAUACCAGCUGGCUGCAACUGUUUAUUAAAAACACAGCACUGUGCAAACACGAAAGUGGACGUAUACGGUGUGACGCCUGCCCGGUGCCGGAAGGUUAAUUGAUGGGGUUAUCCGUAAGGAGAAGCUCUUGAUCGAAGCCCCGGUAAACGGCGGCCGUAACUAUAACGGUCCUAAGGUAGCGAAAUUCCUUGUCGGGUAAGUUCCGACCUGCACGAAUGGCGUAAUGAUGGCCAGGCUGUCUCCACCCGAGACUCAGUGAAAUUGAACUCGCUGUGAAGAUGCAGUGUACCCGCGGCAAGACGGAAAGACCCCGUGAACCUUUACUAUAGCUUGACACUGAACAUUGAGCCUUGAUGUGUAGGAUAGGUGGGAGGCUUUGAAGCGUGGACGCCAGUCUGCGUGGAGCCAACCUUGAAAUACCACCCUUUAAUGUUUGAUGUUCUAACGUUGGCCCCUGACCGGGGUUGCGGACAGUGUCUGGUGGGUAGUUUGACUGGGGCGGUCUCCUCCCAAAGCGUAACGGAGGAGCACGAAGGUUAGCUAAUCCUGGUCGGACAUCAGGAGGUUAGUGCAAUGGCAUAAGCUAGCUUGACUGCGAGCGUGACGGCGCGAGCAGGUGCGAAAGCAGGUCAUAGUGAUCCGGUGGUUCUGAAUGGAAGGGCCAUCGCUCAACGGAUAAAAGGUACUCCGGGGAUAACAGGCUGAUACCGCCCAAGAGUUCAUAUCGACGGCGGUGUUUGGCACCUCGAUGUCGGCUCAUCACAUCCUGGGGCUGAAGUAGGUCCCAAGGGUAUGGCUGUUCGCCAUUUAAAGUGGUACGCGAGCUGGGUUUAGAACGUCGUGAGACAGUUCGGUCCCUAUCUGCCGUGGGCGCUGGAGAAUUGAGGGGGGCUGCUCCUAGUACGAGAGGACCGGAGUGGACGCAUCACUGGUGUUCGGGUUGUCAUGCCAAUGGCACUGCCCGGUAGCUAAAUGCGGAAGAGAUAAGUGCUGAAAGCAUCUAAGCACGAAACUUGCCCCGAGAUGAGUUCUCCCUGAGACUUUAAGUCUCCUGAAGGAACGUUGAAGACGACGACGUUGAUAGGCCGGGUGUGUAAGCGCAGCGAUGCGUUGAGCUAACCGGUACUAAUGAACCGUGAGGCUUAACCUU
rnacentral:rRNA from 1 species